GUUAGGAAAGAUUUCAAGGAAGAUUAGCAUGGCCCCUGCGCAAGAAAGACACAGAAAUUGGUGAAGCAUUCCAUGUUUUU
ensembl:snRNA U6 U6 spliceosomal RNA